GGGCGAAUUGUAGUUUAGAGAAGUGUUUUCUAGGGUAGCUCAGGCAUAGGUCCUUUGGAACGAGGCGUCAUAGAGGGUGAGAACCCCGUCUGUGGCCUGAAGUCUACUCUUCUGUGAUACACUUUCAAAGAGUCGAGUUGUUUGGGAAUGCAGCUCAAAAUGGGUGGUAAAUACCAUCUAAAGCUAAAUAUUGGCGAGAGACCGAUAGCGAACAAGUACCGUGAGGGAAAGAUGAAAAGAACUUUGAAAAGAGAGUUAAACAGUACGUGAAAUUGUUAAAAGGGAAACGCUUGAAAUCAGUGUUGCAACCCAG
rnacentral:rRNA from 1 species